rnacentral:misc_RNA from 1 species
AAGGUCUGGACAACUUCAUAACUGCAAUAGAGAGAGAAAAAAAUGAAUGGAUAAUUUGAUAAGUGUCAAGAUAGCUGAUAAAGUUAACAAACAAAUAGAUAAAGUAGUUUAAAUUAAAAGGAGAUAAUCAAUUGCAUAAAAUAUUAGCUCAUACACACAUAUCCUUAAAUGAGAGAUCUACUUUCUUGGUAUAUAUCCUUAAUUCAACCUUUAACCUCCGGAUUAUAUGCAGAAUUAAGGAAAGAAAAUUGGUAUCCUUUUAUGAUAAGCAAAUGUGCAUAUGUAUUGACUGCCCCAGAAGGAAGGAAAUUGUCUGGGAGAGUAGAGGUCCUUAAUGGCUUCACUUCUAACAUGUGUCAAAAAGCAAGAAAAAAUUUAAAUAUUUCAGGCAUCGAUUUUCACCAACAAAUGACCAUCAAUAUGAUAUGCGAGCGCACUACCUUCCCUAAUAAACAUAUUCAUUACCAAGCUUUUAGUUUUUUGGUUCUAGUUUUUUGACAAUAACAUCUAAUCUAGGGUAUUGACCAAUGUUGAUAAACAGUUCAAUAUUAAGACAUCAACUUUACAAAGUUUGAUAGUUGAUGUGAAUUGUGCACCAACUUUUUACUGACCUUGUACUCCA